rnacentral:rRNA from 1 species
GAUGAACGCUGGCGGCGUGCCUAAUACAUGCAAGUCGAGCGAACAGACGAGGAGCUUGCUCCUCUGACGUUAGCGGCGGACGGGUGAGUAACACGUGGAUAACCUACCUAUAAGACUGGGAUAACUUCGGGAAACCGGAGCUAAUACCGGAUAAUAUAUUGAACCGCAUGGUUCAAUAGUGAAAGACGGUUUUGCUGUCACUUAUAGAUGGAUCCGCGCCGCAUUAGCUAGUUGGUAAGGUAACGGCUUACCAAGGCAACGAUGCGUAGCCGACCUGAGAGGGUGAUCGGCCACACUGGAACUGAGACACGGUCCAGACUCCUACGGGAGGCAGAAGUAGGGAAUCUUCCGCAAUGGGCGAAAGCUUGACGGAGCAACGCCGCGUGAGUGAUGAAGGUCUUCGGAUCGUAAAACUCUGUUAUUAGGGAAGAACAAAUGUGUAAGUAACUAUGCACGUCUUGACGGUACCUAAUCAGAAAGCCACGGCUAACUACGU